UACAGAGGGUGCAAGCGUUGCUCGGAAUCACUGGGCGUAAAGGGUGCGUAGGCGGGUCUUUAAGUCAGGGGUGAAAUCCUGGAGCUCAACUCCAGAACUGCCUUUGAUACUGAAGAUCUUGAGUUCGGGAGAGGUGAGUGGAACUGCGAGUGUAGAGGUGAAAUUCGUAGAUAUUCGCAAGAACACCAGUGGCGAAGGCGGCUCACUGGCCCGAUACUGACGCUGAGGCACGAAAGCGUGGGGAGCAAACAGGG
rnacentral:rRNA from 1 species